rnacentral:rRNA from 1 species
GGUGGUGCAUGGUUGUCGUCAGCUCGUGUCGUGAGAUGUUGGGUUAAGUCCCGCAACGAGCGCAACCCUUGAUUUUAGUUGCCAGCAUUUAGUUGGGCACUCUAAAGUGACUGCCGGUGUAAGCCGGAGGAAGGUGGGGAUGACGUCAAAUCAUCAUGCCCCUUAUGACCUGGGCUACACACGUGCUACAAUGGAUAAUACAAAGGGUCGCGAAGCCGCGAGGUGGAGCCAAUCCCAUAAAAUUAUUCUCAGUUCGGAUUGCAGGCUGCAACUCGCCUGCAUGAAGCCGGAAUCGCUAGUAAUCGUAGAUCAGCAUGCUACGGUGAAUACGUUCCCGGGCCUUGUACAC